AAAUGCGAUAAGUAAUGUGAAUUGCAGAAUUCAGUGAAUCAUCGAAUCUUUGAACGCACAUUGCGCCCGCCAGUAUUCUGGCGGGCAUGCCUGUUCGAGCGUCAUUUCAACCAUCAAGCCCCGGGCUUGUGUUGGGGACCUGCGGCUGCCGCAGGCCCUGAAAAGCAGUGGCGGGCUCGCUGUCACACCGAGCGUAGUAGCAUACAUCUCGCUCUGGGCGUGCUGCGGGUUCCGGCCGUUACACCACCUUCGUAACCCAAGGUUGACCUCGGAUCAGGUAGGAAGACCCGCUGAACUUAAGC
rnacentral:misc_RNA from 1 species